GCCAGGAGCUGAGGCAUGCACCUGUAGUCCCAACAACUUGGAAGGCUGAGGCAGAUGGAUCACUUGAGCCCACGAGUUCAGGGCCAGCGUGGGAAACACAGCAAGACCCUGUCUCAU
rnacentral:sRNA from 1 species